UUUCUGCUCAAAAUCUUUUCAGGUGUUGUUUUUCUCACUUCUACACAUCCUCCCCUCCUCAGUGUCAGAGGUCAGGGGUCAGCCACACAUUCUGCUGUCGGUGUAGGUCUACACAUCCUCCCCUCCUCAGUGUCAGGGGUCAGCCACACAGUCUACUGUAGGUGUAGGUCUACACAUCCUCUCCUCCUCAGUGUCAGGGGUCAGCCACACAGUCUACUGUCGGUGUAGGUCUACACAUCCUCCCCUCCUCAGUGUCAGAGGUCAGGGGUCAGCCACACAUUCUGCUGUCGGUGUAGGUCUACACAUCCUCCCCUCCUCAGUGUCAGAGGUCAGGGGUCAGCCACACAUUCUGCUGUCGGUGUAGGUCUACACAUUCUCCCCUCCUCAGUGUCAGGAGUCAGGGGUCAGCCACACAGUCUACUGUAGGUGUAGGUCUACACAUCCUCCCCUCCUCAGUGUCAGGGGUCAGGGGUCAGCCACACAGUCUUCUGUAGGUGUAGGUCUACACAUCCUCCCCUCCUCAGUGUCAGGGGUCAGCCACACAGUCUACUGUAGGUGUAGGUCUACACAUCCUCCCCUCCUCAGUGUCAGAGGUCAGGGGUCAGCCACACAGUCU
rnacentral:lncRNA from 1 species